UUAUUAUUAUUAUUAUUAUUAUUAUUAUUAAUUAUAAUUAAUUUCAUUUCAUUUAUAAACAGUAUAAUUCAAAUUCAAGAGUCAAUAUCAAGUCCAGUCUUUCAAGUCAGCAUGUGCCUGAUAUUGAAUAACAUAAGUGUCGGCAACGUGUUACCUGCAUAACGCUCUAUUAGACUGGAAUGACAACAAAAUGUUCCCAACCCACUCACCAGAUCAACAAGAGGUGUCAGCAUGCAUGAACACAAAAGGUUGACUGAAGUUAUUGUCUGCAGUUUAAAGGUUUCCCUUUUUCAGCCUGAUUUUUAAAAUGAUAUAAUUUGAGGUGGACAGUUAAUCCAGGAACAUUGUGUGGGUGACAGAACAGAUGGGCUCUGUUUAAGAGGGUCAAAUUAUUGAAGACUCUUCAUCAUCUGAUCAUCAAAAAAGACAGUAUUUAUCUAAUUCACUUGAUCUAUUUGUAAUUAGAAUAAAGUCAUAGAAUACAGAAGUUUCAAGCUGAAGUUUUGAGUGUGUUCAUGAAUUUGAAAUCAAUGCUCUCUAUUAGAACUGUAAUGUCGACAGCCCUGCAGCUUUUCCAAGAUUAUUUACGUAGUGAACCAUGGAAGAAAGUGGAAUAAAAUGCUGCUUCAAUUUGGUAUUUUAGCAGCAGGGAUCUGUAGCUUGCAAUGUGAAACUUCUCAGUGUGGAUGGCACAAGCAAACAAACGGGGCAUUUGACCAACACAUCACACUGCUAACAGGUGCAAAUAGGGACACUUCAUGUACAUAGGUUUGUUUGACAUUUUUCCUCUUCUUGCUCUGUGAUUAUAAUCUGUGUAUAACCUAUUAAAUUAAAAUCACUCUGUUGAUGUGUGGGGUAAGAUGGAGAGGGUCCUCGCUGCAGACUGUAGUGCGAUGGCGUAGUGGAUUUUGGUGACAUAGUGGAUGUUUUGGUUUUUAUGCGUUACACUGAGUACACUUAUUAUUAGAGUAUUACACUGAGACAUUUGUUUAAUAUAGCUUAGCUUUUAAAAAUGGUCAUAACUGUAGAUUUUGUAAAUUAAUUUUCCUUGUUUUCCCUCUUCACCCACAGAAAACAAUUAUAAAAAUUAAGCAGUAUACUCCUAACUAUAAUGUGCUCCACAUUUUAACAUCUCCUCUGCUGUACAUAAAUGCCAUGGGGUGAAUUAUUUGUAUUUGUAUAUUAACAUGUAGUGGUCAAACAUACUUGGAAGUACAAAAGUGAAAUUAAAGUGAAUCUGCACAUGCUCAGCACACGGAACCGAAUGGAGCACAUCUGUUACUCUCAGAGAUAUUGCAUACAAAAUGUAAAACAAUCAUCCCAUGAAUUUCUUCCUAGAAUGCUUGUCAACUCAAAAAUCAUCUGAAUUUUCUUAAGGUUAGAAAUCAAUAUCUUUCUUUCAUUACAAUACCUCGGAUAGAUCAUCAUAGCAUGCUCUACUGUUUCUUCCCAAUUAUAAACUUCACAUUUCCCUGAAUCAUGUUUCUCUAUUCUAUACAAAGUACUAAUAAGUGCUGUAUGACCAAGUCUAGAGAUUAUUGUUUCUUCUAUUUCUUUCUCCCUGCUACUCUACCUUUACCAACAUUAGCUUGAAUGUUAUAAAACCAUCUUCCUGCUCUAUCCUCCUCCCAUUGUUUUUGCCACCUACUCCUUAUAUGUUGUUUAAUUAAACUUUUCAUUUCAGUCUUACAAUAUUUUGUUUGUGGCUUCUUUUGCACUCUCAUCUGUCAUCUCAAUUUCUUUUACCCCUACAUGAGCUAGUACCCAACAAAAAGUUUCAAUUAAUCCCAUCAUAUGAAUCCUGUAUAUUGUUUGAAGUAUCUUAAUCAAAACAUCUGCUCUACUUUCAGUGUGACAUGUUUUUAAUGUUAUUAAUGAUGAACUUGAGUCCGAACAUAUAAGAGCCCUCAAUGGUCUUUUUUCCUCAACCCACUGUAAAGCCAUUAAGAUUACCAUUUCUCCAGUGUACACUGAAAGAUUAUCUGAGAUUCUUUUAUUAGCCUGAAUAUUGAAAUCCAGAACCGUGAAUGCCACACGUACUUUGUUUUCUAUAUUUUUCGAUGCAUCUGAAUAUAUGGACAUAGCUAUAAUAAUUUCCCUGCAUGUACUUAUGUUAUUUGGGCAUUUGGUUUAGACUCCUGAUACGUGUUGUCCUUAUCUAACAGUGUCAUAUCUACAGUAGGUUGUGGUAACAACCAUUGAGGAAUUGUUGACCAUGGUACUGUUGGACUAUUGAGAGUCUUAUUUAUUUCCAUUUCUUCUGUUAUCUUAGGUAUUUUCCAUCCAAAAAUUUUAAUUUCCAGCAUUUCUUUUUCCCAACAUGGUUUUAUAGUGACUCUUGCUGGGUGUUCUUGAUUGUGACCUUGUAUAUUGACCCAAUAAUUUAAUGACAGUACUAUUCUUCUGAGUUCUAAAGGUAUUUCUCCCAUUUCAAUCUGUAAUGCUGUGGUUGGUGUUGAUCUAAUAGCCACCGUGUUCUCCACCAUGAUUGUUGUUUUGUCAUCAGCUCCGCCCUAACCUCCAACCUGAGACUGCUGGCCGAAACUGCUGUGGCGUAUGGCUCUGCGGCUAUGCAGAUGGUUACUAUCCACCUUAUUUUUCAGCAAAACUAGGGCGUCGCCAUUAGCAACAUUGAAUGUGGACCACUUCCGAAUGAAUGAAAUCAGGCGCUGACAGGACAGUCCUCUACACCAUCUUGACACGCCUCCACAAACUUUACACAACCAGCAGAAAGAAGAAAGAUGCCGGGAAAAUGCUGCUUCAACUUUCUUUGCACAAAAACUGCAUCUUGUUUCAUCUUGGCAAAAUAAUAAAAUGCAUUUUACUCUCCGUUCUUGUCAGAGAGCAUUCUCUCUUUCUUAGCAGUGUAUAGUAAACUGUAGGGCUGCCCCCUAAUAGUCAACCAAAUGUUAGAUGAUGAGAAGUGUCUUGGUCGACCAAGUUUUGAUUGGUCGGUUGGUCGCAGAAAAAAAAAAACGCCACAGGAAGUGGCGAUGUCACGCAGUCUGUGACAGCAUGGUUUAAACUUAUUUAUUUUUAUUUUAUUUAUUUAUUUAUUUAUUUGUUUGUUUUAUUGCUUGAGUGAAAAUACAAAGA